rnacentral:misc_RNA from 1 species
GGGGUAUAUAGGAAUAUUAAUAGAGAAAAAUAUUCUUACAAAUACUUAAGCAACAAAAAGGGGUUGGUAUUUAUCAUAAAAAUAUGUGGAUGAAAAUUGACAAAUUUUUAAAAAUAUUUUAAGGAAGAUCUACUGUACUUAGUUGUCAAAAUAUUUUGAUUUUGAGACUGCAAUGCUGAUUGGAUCAGAGUUUAGGCUAUUGUUGUUCUGGUGAGUGAUGUGGCCUCUGGGCCUCUUGUUCUUUAAGUUUACCUCAAACAUUGGCUCAACUGCAUGAGCGUUUCUGAUAUUAAAAAAAAUUGCAGUGUC